AUUGAACGCUGGCGGCAGGCUUAACACAUGCAAGUCGAACGAGUGGCGGACGGGUGAGUAAUGUCUGGGAAACUGCCUGAUGGAGGGGGAUAACUACUGGAAACGGUAGCUAAUACCGCAUACCAUCAGAUGUGCCCCGAUGGGAUUUGCUUGUUGGUUGGGUAACGGCUCACCAAGGCGACGAUCCCUCGCUGUGCUGAGAGGAUGACCAGCCACACUGGAACUGGGACACGGGCCAGACUCCUACGGGAGGCAGCAGUGGGGAAUAUUGCACAAUGGGCGCAAGCCUGAUGCAGCCAUGCCGCGUGUAUGAAGAAGGCCUUCGGGUUGUAAAGUACUUUCAGCGGGGAGGCGGUACCCGCAGAAGAAGCACCGGCUAACUCCGUGCCAGCAGCCGCGGUAAUAC
rnacentral:rRNA from 1 species